AUUGAACGCUGGCGGCAUGCCUUACACAUGCAAGUCGAACGGCAGCACGGGAGCAAUCCUGGUGGCGAGUGGCGAACGGGUGAGUAAUAUAUCGGAACGUGCCCAGUAAUGGGGGAUAGCCCGGCGAAAGCCGGAUUAAUACCGCAUACGACCUACGGGUGAAAGCGGGGGAUCGUAAGACCUCGCGUUAUUGGAGCGGCCGAUAUCAGAUUAGCUUGUUGGUGGGGUAAAAGCCCACCAAGGCGACGAUCUGUAGCUGGUCUGAGAGGACGACCAGCCACACUGGGACUGAGACACGGCCCAGACUCCUACGGGAGGCAGCAGUGGGGAAUUUUGGACAAUGGGCGCAAGCCUGAUCCAGCCAUGCCGCGUGUGGGAAGAAGGCCUUCGGGUUGUAAACCACUUUUGUCAGGGAAGAAACGGUUCUUAAUAAUACUGAGAACUAACGACGGUACCUGAAGAAUAAGCACCGGCUAACUACGUGCCAGCAGCCGCGGUAAUACGUAGGGUGCGAGCGUUAAUCGGAAUUACUGGGCGUAAAGCGUGCGCAGGCGGUUUGUUAAGAUAGGCGUGAAAUCCCCGGGCUCAACCUGGGAACUGCGUUUAUGACUGGCAGGCUAGAGUAUGGCAGAGGGGGGUGGAAUUCCACGUGUAGCAGUGAAAUGCGUAGAGGUGUGGAGGAACACCGAUGGCGAAGGCAGCCCCCUGGGCCAAUACUGACGCUCAUGCACGAAAGCGUGGGUAGCAAACAGGAUUAGAUACCCUGGUAGUCCACGCCCUAAACGAUGUCAACUAGGUGUUGGGUGGGUAAAACCAUUUAGUACCGUAGCUAACGCGUGAAGUUGACCGCCUGGGGAGUACGGCCGCAAGGUUAAAACUCAAAGGAAUUGACGGG
rnacentral:rRNA from 1 species